GUGGGGAAUAUUGGACAAUGGGCGAAAGCCUGAUCCAGCCAUGCCGCGUGUGUGAAGAAGGUCUUCGGAUUGUAAAGCACUUUAAGUUGGGAGGAAGGGCAGUAAGUUAAUACCUUGCUGUUUUGACGUUACCGACAGAAUAAGCACCGGCUAACUUCGUGCCAGCAGCCGCGGUAAUACGAAGGGUGCAAGCGUUAAUCGGAAUUACUGGGCGUAAAGCGAGUGGAGGUGGACUCCCCGGGCUCAACCUGGGAACUGCCUCCAAAACUGCAUGACUCGAGUACGGUAGAGGGUAGUGGAAUUUCCUGUGUAGCGGUGAAAUGCGUAGAUAUAGGAAGGAACACCAGUGGCGAAGGCGACUACCUGGACUGAUACUGACACUGAGGUGCGAAAGCGUGGGGAGCAAACAGGAUUAGAUACCCUAGUAGUCC
rnacentral:rRNA from 1 species